UACGGGGGGGGCAAGCGUUGUUCGGAAUUACUGGGCGUAAAGGGCUCGUAGGCGGCCAACUAAGUCAGACGUGAAAUCCCUCAGCUUAACUGGGGAACUGCGUCUGAUACUGGAUGGCUUGGAUUCGGGAGAGGAAUGCGGAAUUCCAGGUGUAGCGGUGAAAUGCGUAGAUAUCUGGAGGAACACCGGUGGCGAAGGCGGCAUUCUGGACCGAUAUUGACGCUGAGGAGCGGAAGCCAGGGGAGCAAACGGG
rnacentral:rRNA from 1 species